GAUGAACGCUGGCGGCGUGCCUAAUACAUGCAAGUCGAGCGAACAGAUGAGGAGCUUGCUCCUCUGACGUUAGCGGCGGACGGGUGAGUAACACGUGGAUAACCUACCUAUAAGACUGGGAUAACUUCGGGAAACCGGAGCUAAUACCGGAUAAUAUAUUGAACCGCAUGGUUCAAUAGUGAAAGACGGUUUUGCUGUCACUUAUAGAUGGAUCCGCGCCGCAUUAGCUAGUUGGUAAGGUAACGGCUUACCAAGGCAACGAUGCGUAGCCGACCUGAGAGGGUGAUCGGCCACACUGGAACUGGGACACGGUCCAGACUCCUACGGGAGGCAGCAGUAGGGAAUCUUCCGCAAUGGGCGAAGGCCUGACGGAGCAACGCCGCGUGAGUGAUGAAGGUCUUCGGAUCGUAAAACUCUGUUAUUAGGGAAGAACAAAUGUGUAAGUAACUAUGCACGUCUUGACGGUACCUAAUCAGAAAGCCACGGCUAACUACGUG
rnacentral:rRNA from 1 species